rnacentral:rRNA from 1 species
AAGACAGUCUCAGUUCGGAUUGAAGGCUGAAAUUCGCCUUCAUGAAGCCGGAAUUGCUAGUAAUGGCAGGUCAGCAUACUGCCGUGAAUACGUUCCCGGGCCUUGUACACACCGCCCGUCACACCAUGAGAGUUGGGGAUACCCGAAGCCUGUGAGCUAACUUUUAGAGGCAGCAGUCGAAGGUAGAAUCAAUGAUUGGGGUGAAGUCGUAACAAGGUAAC